UGUUUAUUUGGGGAUAUUGU
rnacentral:miRNA from 1 species